rnacentral:tRNA from 1 species
GUCUUCGUGGUGUAACGAUAGCACACGCUGCGCAUAUUCGAGAGGUUCGGGUUCGAGUCCCGGCGAGGGCA